GACGGACGCUGGCGGCGUGCUUAACACAUGCAAGUCGAACGGUGAAAGCGGAGCUUGCUCCGCUGGAUCAGUGGCGAACGGGUGAGUAACACGUGGGCAACCUGCCCCUCACUUCGGGAUAACUCCGGGAAACCGGGGCUAAUACCGGAUAUGACUUCCUUGGGCAUCCUUGGAGGUGGAAAGUUUUUCGGUGAGGGAUGGGCCCGCGGCCUAUCAGCUUGUUGGUGAGGUAGUGGCUCACCAAGGCGACGCCGGGUAGCCGGCCUGAGAGGGCGACCGGCCACACCGGGACUGAGACACGGCCCAGACUCCUACGGGAGGCAGCAGUGGGGAAUAUUGCGCAAUGGGCGAAAGCCUGACGCAGCAACGCCGCGUGCGGGAUGACGGCCUUCGGGUUGUAAAGCUCUGUCGGCAGGAACGAAGGGUGGGUGUUUUAAUAAAGCAUCCAUUUGACGGUACCUGCAAAGGAAGCACCGGCUAACUC
rnacentral:rRNA from 1 species